UUUUUAUAUUAUAUAUAUAUAUAUAUAUAAUAUUCAUAAGUUAUUUAAUUUUUAUAAAGUUUGAUUUUAGCUUAUUUAAUUAUUUUAAGAUUUUUAUACAUGUAAAUUUUUGUGUGAAUUAUUAUAAAAAUUAUUUUUUUAGAAAAAUAAAUAUAAUUUGUUUAAUUUAAAAUUUAAAUUUGCAGUAUAUAAAUUUAAUAAUUAAAGUAAUUUAGAAUUAUUAAUUUUUUAUUUAUACAAGUAAAAAAUGUGCCAGCAACUGCGGUUAUACAUUUUGUAUUAGUAAUUAUUAUUUAUACUUAUAAAAAUUAUUUUAAAUAAAAAUUUUUAUUUUAAUGUAAAUUAGGUGAAAUUAUUUAUAUUAUUAAAAUUAUUUUUAAUUAAAUAGUUUUUUAUUAUAUUUUAAAUAUAAACUAGGAUUAGAUACCCUAUUAUUUAAAAUUAAAAAAAUUUAUUAUAGAAGAUUAAUAGUUAAAGUCUUUAAAUUUAAAAAAAUUGGCGGUAUUUAAAUCUAAUCAGGGGAACUUGUUUUUUUAAAAUGAUAAUCCUCAAGGCACCUUACUUUAAUUUUUAAUUUAUUUAUUGUCGUUAUCAGAUUAUUUUGAAAAAAAAUAAAUUUUCUUAAAUAUUUAAAUAUAUUUAUUUCAGAUCAUUAUGUAGUUUAUAUUAAAGUUGAAAUGAGUUACAAUAAUUUAUAUUUAUUUAUGGAUAUAUAAUUGAAAUAUUAUAUUGAAAGUGGACUUGGUAGUAAAUAAAAAUUAUUAAGUUUUAUUGAAUUAAGAAUUAAAUAUGUACAUAUCGCCCGUCACUCUCAUUUUAAAAUGAGAUAAGUCGUAACAAAGUAGAUGUACUGGAAAGUGUAUCUAGAAAGUAAAUUUAUAAGUUUAAUUUUUUU
rnacentral:ncRNA from 1 species